GAACGCUGGCGGCGUGCCUAAUACAUGCAAGUCGAACGAGUUCUCGUUGAUGAUCGGUGCUUGCACCGAGAUUCAACAUGGAACGAGUGGCGGACGGGUGAGUAACACGUGGGUAACCUGCCCUUAAGUGGGGGAUAACAUUUGGAAACAGAUGCUAAUACCGCAUAGAUCCAAGAACCGCAUGGUUCUUGGCUGAAAGAUGGCGUAAGCUAUCGCUUUUGGAUGGACCCGCGGCGUAUUAGCUAGUUGGUGAGGUAAUGGCUCACCAAGGCGAUGAUACGUAGCCGAACUGAGAGGUUGAUCGGCCACAUUGGGACUGAGACACGGCCCAAACUCCUACGGGAGGCAGCAGUAGGGAAUCUUCCACAAUGGACGCAAGUCUGAUGGAGCAACGCCGCGUGAGUGAAGAAGGCUUUCGGGUCGUAAAACUCUGUUGUUGGAGAAGAAUGGUCGGCAGAGUAACUGUUGUCGGCGUGACGGUAUCCAACCAGAAAGCCACGGCUAACUACGUGCCAGCAGCCGCGGUAAUACGUAGGUGGCAAGCGUUAUCCGGAUUUAUUGGGCGUAAAGCGAGCGCAGGCGGUUUUUUAAGUCUGAUGUGAAAGCCCUCGGCUUAACCGAGGAAGCGCAUCGGAAACUGGGAAACUUGAGUGCAGAAGAGGACAGUGGAACUCCAUGUGUAGCGGUGAAAUGCGUAGAUAUAUGGAAGAACACCAGUGGCGAAGGCGGCUGUCUGGUCUGUAACUGACGCUGAGGCUCGAAAGCAUGGGUAGCGAACAGGAUUAGAUACCCUGGUAGUCCAUGCCGUAAACGAUGAAUGCUAGGUGUUGGAGGGUUUCCGCCCUUCAGUGCCGCAGCUAACGCAUUAAGCAUUCCGCCUGGGGAGUACGACCGCAAGGUUGAAACUCAAAGGAAUUGACGGGGGCCCGCACAAGCGGUGGAGCAUGUGGUUUAAUUCGAAGCAACGCGAAGAACCUUACCAGGUCUUGACAUCUUUUGAUCACCUGAGAGAUCAGGUUUCCCCUUCGGGGGCAAAAUGACAGGUGGUGCAUGGUUGUCGUCAGCUCGUGUCGUGAGAUGUUGGGUUAAGUCCCGCAACGAGCGCAACCCUUAUGACUAGUUGCCAGCAUUUAGUUGGGCACUCUAGUAAGACUGCCGGUGACAAACCGGAGGAAGGUGGGGAUGACGUCAAAUCAUCAUGCCCCUUAUGACCUGGGCUACACACGUGCUACAAUGGAUGGUACAACGAGUUGCGAGACCGCGAGGUCAAGCUAAUCUCUUAAAGCCAUUCUCAGUUCGGACUGUAGGCUGCAACUCGCCUACACGAAGUCGGAAUCGCUAGUAAUCGCGGAUCAGCACGCCGCGGUGAAUACGUUCCCGGGCCUUGUACACACCGCCCGUCACACCAUGAGAGUUUGUAACACCCGAAGCCGGUGGCGUAACCCUUUUAGGGAGCGAGCCGUCUAAGGUGGGACAAAUGAUUAGGGUGAAGUCGUAACAAGGUAGCCGUAGGAGAACCU
rnacentral:rRNA from 2 species